rnacentral:lncRNA from 1 species
AGGUGACACGGAUAUAUGAAGAUGUGCUCAAGAGGUUGUCUACGUAGCUAAUAUGGUCUCCCAUUUCUUCAAUGGAACCACCUACUCGGUCCGGCCAUUUUUAUUGACACGAGCAGAAAUAUACCAUUAUCAUAAUAAAUAACAAUAAAUGAAACUAAUAAAUACCAAUAAUACCAGGCAGUAGACACCAUCCAUACCGGUCUCGACGCUCUUCCAUCUUCCACCGUC